rnacentral:rRNA from 1 species
CAAGACAGGUGGUGCAUGGUUGUCGUCAGCUCGUGUCGUGAGAUGUUGGGUUAAGUCCCGCAACGAGCGCAACCCUUAUCUUCAGUAGCCAGCAGGUAAAGCCGGGCACUCUGGAGAGACUGCCGGGGAUAACCCGGAGGAAGGUGGGGAUGACGUCAAAUCAUCAUGCCCCUUAUGAUUUGGGCUACACACGUGCUACAAUGGCGUAAACAGAGGGAAGCGAGCCCGCGAGGGGGAGCAAAUCCCAAAAAUAACGUCCCAGUUCGGAUUGUAGUCUGCAACCCGACUACAUGAAGCUGGAAUCGCUAGUAAUCGCGGAUCAGAAUGCCGCGGUGAAUACGUUCCCGGGUCUUGUACACACCGCCCGUCACACCAUGGGAGUCGGAAAUGCCCGAAGUCUGUGACCUAACCGUAAGGGAGGAGCAGCCGAAGGCAGGUCGGAUGACUGGGGUGAAGUCGUAACAAGGUAGCCGUAUCGGAAGGUGCGGCUGGAUCACCUC